AUUGAACGCUGGCGGCAUGCCUUACACAUGCAAGUCGAACGGCAGCACGGGGGCAACCCUGGUGGCGAGUGGCGAACGGGUGAGUAAUACAUCGGAACGUGCCCAGUAGUGGGGGAUANCCCGGCGAAAGCCGGAUUAAUACCGCAUACGACCUAUGGGUGAAAGCGGGGGAUCGCAAGACCUCGCGCUACCGGAGCGGCCGAUGUCAGAUUAGGUUGUUGGUGGGGUAAAAGCCACCAAGCCGACGAUCUGUAGCUGGUCUGAGAGGACGACCAGCCACACUGGGA
rnacentral:rRNA from 1 species